UGGAUGACCUGCCCUGAGGUGGGGAAUAACCCGGGGGAAACUCGGGCUAAUACCGCAUAUGACCGCGAGGUCAAAGCGGGGACGCAAGUCCUCGUGCCACAGGAGGGGUCCGCGUUCGAUUAGCUAGUUGGUAGGGUAAUGGCCUACCAAGGCGACGAUCGAUAGCCGGCCUGAGAGGGUGAUCGGCCACACUGGAACUGAGACACGGUCCAGACUCCUACGGGAGGCAG
rnacentral:rRNA from 1 species